rnacentral:misc_RNA from 1 species
CAAAGCAAUCAAGGAUUUGCAUGUGCCAAUCUGCACCGGAAUCCAUCCAGUAAGUGAAUUCCUACCCAUCAGCAGCUGUCGGAGCGCAACGGCACCUCCGAUCUCCAGUGGCACAACCCCAUCCAACUUGUUAGCACUCACGUCCAACACCUCAAGCAUCAGCAUCAGCCCAAUGCUUGCAGGAAGCUGCCCCGACAUGGAAUUUGAGGACAAAUUCAGGUACUGCAAUCUUGCAAGGGUGGAAAUCUCAGGCGGGAUCACACCAGUGAAAGCAUUGGCUGAAAGGUCCAGGGCUUCCAGGGUGGCAGCAGCAUCACGGGGAACCUUGACCCACCCUGACAGUGCAUUUCCAGAGACGGAGACGCGCUGCAGAGGUACCCCAAACACCCACCAUGGGAGCUCCCCAGUGAGCGCGUUCCGGCUGAGGUCGACCUCGACCAGGUUCUUGCAGCCUGAAAUGGCGUCCGGGAUGGUGCCGGUAAAGCGGUUGGCAGACAAAUCCAGUCUCUCCAGCGCCGCCAUUUCCCCAAUCCACGGCUGGAGCUCCUCUGAUAGGUCAUUGCCACCAGCGCCGAGAAAACUCAGCCCGGACAGCCCACGCAGCGACUCGGGCAGCCCGCCGGUGAACGAGUUGUGCCCGAGGUCAAGGGACUUAAGCAGCCCGGCUUCACCGAUGUCCGCCGGUAUCUCCCCUUGGAGCAGGUUGCGGCUCAGGUCCACCUCACGCAGCGAGCUGCUCCGCGGGAACCCGCCGGGUACGCUCCCGGAGAGCAGGUUCCCGGAGAGGUCCACCGACCUGAGCGACGGCAGUGACCAGAUGCCAUCGGGGACCGGGCCGGUGAGCCGAUUGCGAGAGAGGUUGAGCGACACGAGCGACUCGCAGGACGCGAGCGAGGCGGGGAUGCCGCCCGAGAUCGCGUUGCCCGAGAGGUCGAGAGAACGGAGGCGAGGGGGCAGCGCGUCAGGGAGCGUGCCGGAGAGGCGGUUCCCCGGGAGCGCGAGCGAGACGAGCGCGUCGAGGCGGAGCAGCGCGGCCCGCGGGAGGCGGCCCGCGAGCGACGCGGCGGGGAGGUCGAGCGCGGCGACGCGGUCCGUGCGCGAGUCGCAGGAGACCCCCGGCCAGGCGCAGGCGCGGUCGGCGUCCUCGGACCAGGGCGCGAGGCGGCCCGCCGGGUCGAAGAGGCCCGACUUGAGGACGACCAGCGCGAGCACGUCGUCGCUCACGGUGGCGGCCGUGGCCGCCCCGGCCGACGCGGCGAGGAGGACCAGGACGGGGAAGAGGAGGCGGGAGGGAGUCGGCAUUGCCGCGGCGGCGGCGGCGGAAGAGGAGGUGGGCGACGAGAUCAUGGGAAGUGUCCGUCCAUUGAUUGGACUGGAGCGGCGGUUCGCGGCGCAGAUGCACUGCUGUCUGCUGCGCUUGCUGCUGGGGUUGCUGGUUUCGUGAGGUGAGUGGAGAACCGCUGCAAUUAAUGCUCCGCUGGCCACUGCGCAGUGGGGUCACCGUCUGGCUCGAGGUUGUUCCACGAUUUUAGAAUUUCGAAGCCAAAUCUUCUGUAGGAGUGUGGGCUUGUGGCUCGUGGUCGUGGACUCGUGGGUGACUCGCGAGUGGCGAUGAUGGUG